UUUUCGCUCAUAGCCACAUGACCGAUUCUGGGUUUGCUAAUUUCGAUUCUGGGUUUGCUAAUUUUGAUUCUGGGUUUGCUAAUUUCGAUUCUGGGUUUGCUAAUUUUUGUUUACUUCAGUAUCAGUGGCGCUUGCAUUACGAUCCACCCACAAAUCCUGCAGCUCCUGCUCGUAUUCCUGGUGCUUAGCUUCUCUAAUUUCGAAUCACUGGAACUCUGUCGGCUUGAUUAGCAGCUUGCAUCUCCCUUGAGUUUUCGCUCUUUCUCCACCUUGAUUAGCAGCUUGCAUGUCUUUAUCUGCCGUAAAUCCAUCAUAGUCGUUCUCCCUCUUUUCCGUCGCAAUCGUCUUCCAAGCUUUAGCGGAUCACCUUUUCCGCAAUCCAGAUUACCAUAAACAAGUUAGGAAGCAUAUUGUAAAGCAGGUAUGGACGAGGAACUUCCGAAACUGCUUUUCGAGCCUGGUUUUGUGAAUGAUAUUGACAAGAUCAACAAUCGAUGCAUUCUUAACACAAUGGACUCCGUUAAGAAAGCACUUUCAGACGAAUACAAAAGAGUUCUGCUAGACCCUGUCUUAGGACCUGUUUUGUCGAUUAUCGAGAACGACAUGGGAUAUUCAGGGCGACUAAUCCAUAGCUUUCUGUGUAAGGAGCUCAUCACCGACAAGAAACACGAGCUAUGGUUCGUGUUUGCGGGGAUACCUCUUCGAUUUUCUCUGCAAGAAUUUCAUGCGAUUACUGGACUGAACACGGAAGACGAUAAGACUUGUGAUUUCAGUGAUUGGGUUGAUGAUGGCGGGUUCUGGAGUAAGUUGUUGAGAAGCAAACGUGGAAUUACUUUGUCUAACAUAGAAACUAAGUAUCUUGGGCGUGUCAACAAAUGGAGGCGUGAAAACAGGUUGCGGUUAGUGUACUUGUAUGUUAUUGCUUCUCUGGUAAUGGCAAAGAGCAAGACCAUUAAUAUCCCAAAAGAAUAUAUCAUUCUUGUUAUGGAUCUGGAGAAGCUACGGAAGUACCCAUGGGGACGUGUAGCGUUUGAUUUUCUAGUGCAGAGUAUCAAGAAAGUUCGUGUGAAGUUGACGCAAUCUACAGGCUAUGCACUGAAUGGCUUCUCAAUAGCUUUUCAAAUCUGGAUCAUGGAGGCAAUUCCCGUUCUCAGAUAUAUGCUGUCUUCAAGAUUGGACGAUGUGAUCGCUGGUGUUGCUAGAUGCUCUAAGUGGAACGGCAUUAGCUAUGUGAAAAUUUCAGAUAUUAAGCAUAUCGAACAUACGUUUUGCACGAAGGAGAAGCUCUAUCACUAUAUCUCUUCCACUGGGAAUGAUGAUGUCGUCGAUUCUUUGGACUUCGUAUGGCCUGAUGAAAUGGCUGACGCAAGAGUGGAUCGUCUUAAAACGAUGAUCAAUGAUGGAAUGGAUUGGAGUCACCAUAAUUGGGCGGUAGAAGAAGCAAUACCUGCAACUCUUGACGAGAAUGAGGAAGAAACAGAUGAAGAGAAUGAGAAUGUCGCAGAAGAAAGCCAAUUUAGGACACCACCUGCUGUAGGUAGCUCAGUUGCAGGUUCGAGUCGAGGAAAGAAAAGGGUCGCAGAACCUGGUGCAGAAACACGGAAGCAGAAGUUGAUGUGCGAUCACUUUAAGUCUUUUAUUCAAGGACUUUUGCAGACCUCGUUAAAAGCUUUGGAGGAAAGACUUCAGACGAAGAUUGAUAGUCAAGUAGAGCUGUUGGAGAAGAAAUGGAAAACAUAGUGGAGAUGCUUGAGAAGAAGAUUAUGGAACCCAUCCAAGCAGGUGGAUUCACUACUGCUACUCCCACCGCAGCAAAAUCAUUAUCUGGCACAGCUGGUGACGUUCCUUUACCGGCAAAAACAUCUACCAAUGAUGUUCCCAUAUUUGCAGCAAAAUCACUAUCUGGCACAGCUGGUGACGUUACUUUACCGGAAAAAACAUCUACCAGUGUCAUCCCUUUAGCUGCUAAAGCGUCAACAAUUGCCGCCUCCAAAUCCAUAACGAGGUCUGCAUGUGCUAUUCUAAGCAAUGGGGAGACUUCGCACCCUUCCAAAAAGGUAAGGAAGCGCAAAUACUAAGACCUGAUGCCCUAGAAUCAAAAAUAAUGUCUUUUUUUAGGCUACGAUGUAUUCUGUAUAAUAUAAAAGAUAAUGUAGUUCUUAGAUUUGUGUGUGUGGUAGUAUUAUUUUUAAAAUGUAAUAUGUGUG